GAUGAAGAACGCAGCGAAAUGCGAUACGUAAUGUGAAUUGCAGAUUUCAGUGAAUCAUCGAAUCUUUGAACGCACAUUGCGCCCGCUAGUAUUCUGGCGGGCAUGCGUGUUCGAGCGUCAUUUCAACCAUCAAGCCCUAGGCUUGCGUUGGAGCCCUGCGGCUGCCGCAGGCUCCCAAAUCCAGUGGCGGGCUCGUCGUCGUACCGAGUGCAGUAAACAUCCUCGCUCAGGGAACGUGACGGGUUCUUGCCGUGAAACCCCCCACAUAUCAAGGUUGACCUCGGAUCAGGUAGGAAUACCCGCUGAACUUAAGCAUAUCAAUAAGCGGAGGA
rnacentral:misc_RNA from 1 species